UCGAGAAAGUUAUAGUGGCUAUAGGGUUGGCUUGAAACCAAUUAAAGAGGGUUCGAUUCCUUCCUUUCUUA
rnacentral:tRNA from 2 species